rnacentral:ncRNA from 2 species
GCCGCUCGCCAGGGGUCUCCCGCAGGGGAGUGAGACAUACCCUUCGAACCUGAUGCGGUUGAUACCGCCGUAGGGAGGGCAGGAUGCCGCGUGU